rnacentral:lncRNA from 1 species
CGGCGCGCAGAGGGUCAGAGGCAGAGCCGUGGCGCCCGCAGAGGGGGAGCCAGAGGAGACACGGCCGACAGGGACGUGUUUUGGAGGCAGGGCUGACAUGACUGAUGGACGUGGAAGGUGAGGGAGAGGAACAAGAGAACCAAGAAUGACUCGAGCGGUCCGGUGCGCGGUGGUGCCAGUUCCUGGGAUGAGGGUCACUAGGGAAGACAGGUCUGGGGGGAAAGCCAGUUGAGGUGUGGCAUGAUGAGUCUGAGAUGCCUGCAGAAUACCCGCAGACGCAGAGGGGCGGCGGGGUGCAGGAGGCUGGCUACCGUGACAGGUGAGGGUUGGAAGUACGAACUGAGAGCUCGUGGGUGCAUGGGUGGCAUUAAAGCCACGGGACUGAGUGACAGCCCCAGUCUGUCCCGCUCCUUUUAUGCCCCGUGAAUGGAUUCGCGAGUACCAGCUGGCUGAACACCUCUUCCCCUCUCUCAGCCCCACAGGGACCUGCCACAAUUUUUCCUUGCCCAGAGCCUCCUGGUGGCCACCAAUAAGGGAGAAAGUUUGCACUAAAAUGGUAGACAAAUCUUGGCUUUCACAGGCUACUACUACUGCUCCUGGGAAGGUCUCGAAGGUUCAUGUCCUGGGUUUUUGGUUUUGUUUUGGGCAGGGGAGGCGGGGGCGGGGGGUGUGGCUAUCAACCUGUCAUCCUAGUCCCAGGUCCUCAUGGGAGGGCCAAGGUCACCUGAACCGGUAACAGUGGUUCUCCACUGGGGGCACUCUGGCCCCGCAGGGGACACUUGGCAGUGUCUGGAGAUAUUUUUGUCACAACUGUGCGGGUUGGACGCUUCUGGAAUCUAGCGGGUGGAGCCCAGGGAUGCCAAUAAACGUGCCACAAGGUGCAGGACCCCACCCCACCCCGACAAUAGAGAACCACUCGGCCCCAAAUACCAACGGUAUCAAGGUUGAAAAUUCUGAAGAUUCUAGCAGCUUAGAAGGCUAGAGCGUGGUCCGUUGGGGGAAGCACCUCACUUGGUAGAAGGAUUUGCUGCUGGAGAGGGUCAGAGGCAGUGGCCUCUGUCACAUGUCAGGACAGGUGCUCCGAGAGAAGGAGAUGUUGAUUUUGAGGAGACCUUACCUGCCUGCUGUCAGUGACUCCUGUGACAUUUAUCCCUGGAGGGAAGGUGGGUGGGCAGUCCCAUCUAGCAGGUGUAGGUGACCUUGAUUCUGCAGGGCCUCGCGGUGGGGUCGGGCACUGGCCAUUGCCAGGCACUGUGCUAAGUCAUGACCCACACCACUUCAUCUAAUCACGGGGCAGUGCCCUGGGCUCAGGGGCUCAGGCCAGGGGGGUGGUGUAAAACCCCAGAGGCUACCCUAAAGCUUCUGACUCAUAAAACUGAUGCUGUAAACUAACAAUUAGACUUUGGAAUUUAGUCUUUGGUGAGCUUACUAAUUCUUUUUAGCGUGACAGACCAUGUGCAUUACAUACACUCUCUUAAUCAGUGUCUUUUUUUAAUUCAUUAAUUAUUUUAAUAUUCAUUUUGAGAGAGAGAGAGAGAGAGAGAGAGAGAGAUAGUGUACCAGUAGAGGAGGGGCAGAGAAAGAAUCCCAAGCAGGCUCCGUGUUGCCAGCGCAGAGCCCGAUGCAGGGCUCGAACUCACGAACCGCAAGAUCAUGACCUGAGCCGAAAUCAAGAGUUGGGCGCUCAACUGACUGAGCCAUGCAGGCGCCCCAAUCAGUGGUUUUUAUGUUUAUUUUUUUUAAUUUUUUUGUUAAAAAAAUUUUUUUUACUGUUUGUUUAUUUUUGAGAGACAGCAGGAGACAGAGUGUGAGCAGGAGAGGGGCAGAGAGAGGGAGACACAGAAUCGGAAGCAGGCUCCAGGCUCCGAGUUGUCAGCACAGAGCCCGACACAGGGUUCGAACUCACAAACUGCGACAUCAUGACCCAAGUUAGACACUUAGCCAACUGAGCUACCCAGUCGCCCAGAAAUCAGUGUGGUUUUUAAACAUUUUUUAAUGUUUACUUAUUUUUGAGAGAGAGACAGAGACAGAGAGAGCAUGAGCGGGAGAGGAGCAGAGAGAGAGGGAGACAAAGAAUCCAAAGUAAGCUCCAGGCCCUGAGCUGUCGGCACAGAGCCCGACGCGGGGCUCGAACUCGUGAACCAUGAGAUCAUGACCUGAGCUGAAGUCGGAUGCUUAACUGACCUAGCCACCCGGGUGCCCCAGAAAUCAGCGGGUUUUUUUUAAUGAACAAAGUAGUUGCUUUUCUUUAACAAUGUUCCUUAUUGACAUUUUUAUUACAAAGGUGAUAUGUGUUACGUGUAACAAAUGAAGAUAAUUCAAUGAUGUGUAAAGAAAAAUUUAAUAAUUUGUCAUCAUUCCUUUCCAUUACAUCCUCUGGAAAUCAUUGAUGUCAGCAGCCUGGUGCAUAUCCUUCUAGACCUUUCUGCAUUCACCGCUUCUGUACCCCUUCGUAGUAGCACGGGGAAGACGGCUUGGAAGAUUACUGGAAAUGCCAAAGACUUGAUUUCCAGAUGAUUGGUUCUCUUGAAAGGAUACGGGAUUCUGGGAGCUUCCUUCUCUUUGUUAUGAUCAUGCCAUAAAAAAAGGGCUUUAUGUAAGUUUGUCCUUCCCAAUUUCACUUAUCCGUGCUUCAAAGCUGAAACCCAGAGAGGCAUACACAGAGCAAGAUGGCAUCCAACAAAAGACACGAGUUAUGAAGGAAAAGGAUAUCACAAGGUAUUUGUCAUGUACUCUGCUUUACAUCUGCGAGUCCACAGAUUUAAAAUGACCCCGUGUGUUGGGGCACCAGGGUGGCUCCGUCGGUUAAGCGUCUGACUCUUGAUCUCAGCUCAGGUCAUGAUCUCACGGUUCGUGAGUUCGAGCCCUACGUAGGGCUCUGUGCUGCUUGGGAUUCUCUCUGUCUCCCUUUCUGCCUGUCCCCUGCUCACACACACACACACUCUCUCUCUCUCUCUCUCUCUCAAAACUAAUUAAACUUAAAAAGAAUAAAUAAAAUGCCCCGUAUGUUAAAGAAGUUUCUAUCGGUCAUAAAGUUUGAAGCACCUUCUGUGUACCGUGUCUGUGUGCCCUCCCCCCACCACACACCGUGGGAGCUUCUGUACCUGUGACGUGGAUGUGAGGCUGAGCCCAGCAGGUGCACGAGAAGCAGAGAGCAAUGCUGUCCCUCCGCCCCUGCCAAGAACGCCCGCCGCCAAUGGCUCCAUCUACUAAUCCCUUGGGUUGAUCGAGCUAGGUAGCUGUCUGUGGUUCUUGCCGACCAGGUUAGUUUGCAAAACUAAGCAAGUACGAGUCAGCACCUGUCACCGUCCUCGUGAUCCAUCCGUUUAAAUGUAAGCUGAGGGCAGCUCAGGGACUCCAGCAUGUGCGUAACCGUGGUCAGCUGUGUGGAAAAGGCUCGAAAGAAUGCCCCCUUAACAGGACCCUCUUUCCCCCCCCGUCACACAAGCCACGGGAAGAACCAGUGAGGCAUCUGGUCUGUGCUCUGGGCAUCCUGCCCUGGAUCCGUGACCCAGCUUCUAGGGGCUUCCGCAUGCUGUGGCCCAGAGAAAGACUUCACUGUUUAAACCCACCCCACCCCCAUUUUUCCCCCAUCACAGUCGAUCUUCGUGGUACAGAUGGAAAAGCUGAAGUCCGCAGCGGCCGAGGGCAGUUUGGCCGGGAGCAGACAUCCUCACAACCACUGCUUCCUGCCUCCUGGGACGGUUUCUUGUCAUAGCCAAGUGGAGGUGAGUGUGAGUGUGGUGUCCCUAAGGUGAAUUUGCAGGGAGCACCGUGCACGAGACUAAAACCAGAGGAGGAGGAGAGACAGGAGCGACACUUCUAUGGAAUUCUCCAGACACUCUCAUUCCCAGGAGACUCUGUAAACAGCUCAUUACACUUUUGAAGGUGUUAUUAGGUACAGAAGCGUCAUCAUGUCUCGUUGAUAAAUUGGCCCUUUAUGGGUAGGAAAUGCCCGUCUUCCCGUGUAUGGAGGACGUGCUGUAUCAUGUAGCCGGAUCUUGGUUUUUUCUCCUAACGUAAUCGUUUCAGCCUUUAACUCGGGAUGUGUAGGCAGCUUCUGUUUUCUGUGAUUAUUGACGGGGUUGGCUGAUUUACUCUUUCUGUUUCCCGUUACGGGUUUCGUCAAGGUUCACAGCGCCCGUUUCGGACCACGCUGUGCCCACACGUGGAUGCUAUGUGCGUGGCAUGCAGCACGGGAGCCUUGGAGGGUUCGCCCCCGUCCCCCGCCUCCGCUGCUGUCCUCCUGUGUGUCCCCCACGUCGCAGACCCCGCGUUCGUGGCUGGCGUAUUUGAUGAUGUUUUCUAGAAAUGUCAAUAACAACUUCUGAAGGUCCUAUUCCCUCGCACCGUCAGGGACACUGGAGGCCCGUCCCUUCGCGUGGGUGCAGAGGGUCUCGGUCCCCUCGCACCUUCCUCCCUCCUGCCCGAAGCCCUUUGUCAGUGCAGGUUUCCCGGUGUUGUGUGUCCAGUAAAGCUGUGACUUUGUCCUCGUGUUUGAAAUAUAUUUUUUCCUGGACAGAGAAUCCUUACUUUCUUUUUCUCUCUGUACAUUAAAAG